UACGGAGGAUCCGAGCGUUAUCCGGAUUUAUUGGGUUUAAAGGGAGCGUAGGUGGAUUGUUAAGUCAGUUGUGAAAGUUUGCGGCUCAACCGUAAAAUUGCAGUUGAACCUGGCAGUCUUGAGUACAGUAGAGGUGGGCGGAAUUCGUGGUGUAGCGGUGAAAUGCUUAGAUAUCACGAAGAACUCCGAUUGCGAAGGCAGCUCACUGGACUGCAACUGACACUGAGGCUCGAAAGUGUGGGUAUCAAACAGG
rnacentral:rRNA from 1 species